rnacentral:rRNA from 1 species
AACGUAGGAGGCGAGCGUUAUCCGGAUUUACUGGGCGUAAAGCGUGCGCAGGCGGUUGUGCAAGACAGGUGUGAAAUCCCCGGGCUUAACCUGGGAACUGCACUUGUGACUGCACGGCUAGAGUACGGCAGAGGGGGAUGGAAUUCCGCGUGUAGCAGUGAAAUGCGUAGAUAUGCGGAGGAACACCGAUGGCGAAGGCAGUCCCCUGGGCCUGUACUGACGCUCAUGCACGAAAGCGUGGGGAGCAAAC